UACGUAGGGUGCAAGCGUUGUCCGGAAUUAUUGGGCGUAAAGAGCUUGUAGGCGGUCUGUCGCGUCUGCUGUGAAAACUCAGGGCUUAACCCUGAGCUUGCAGUGGGUACGGGCAGACUAGAGUGCGGUAGGGGAGACUGGAAUUCCUGGUGUAGCGGUGAAAUGCGCAGAGUAUCAGGAGGGAACACCCGGUGGGCGAA
rnacentral:rRNA from 1 species